rnacentral:rRNA from 1 species
AGAGUUUGAUCAUGGCUCAGGACGAACGCUGGCGGCGCGCCUAACACAUGCAAGUCGAACGGAGCUUAGAGAGCUUGCUUUUUAAGCUUAGUGGCGAACGGGUGAGUAACGCGUGAGUAACCUGCCCUAGAGUGGGGGACAACAGUUGGAAACGACUGCUAAUACCGCAUAAGCCCACGGUACCGCAUGGUACUGAGGGAAAAGGAUUUAUUCGCUUUAGGAUGGACUCGCGUCCAAUUAGCUAGUUGGUGAGGUAACGGCCCACCAAGGCGACGAUUGGUAGCCGGACUGAGAGGUUGAACGGCCACAUUGGGACUGAGACACGGCCCAGACUCCUACGGGAGGCAGCAGUGGGGGAUAUUGCACAAUGGGGGAAACCCUGAUGCAGCGACGCCGCGUGGAGGAAGAAGGUUUUCGGAUUGUAAACUCCUGUCGUUAGGGACGAUAAUGACGGUACCUAACAAGAAAGCACCGGCUAACUACGUGCCAGCAGCCGCGGUAAAACGUAGGGUGCAAGCGUUGUCCGGAAUUACUGGGUGUAAAGGGAGCGCAGGCGGGAAGACAAGUUGGAAGUGAAAACCAUGGGCUCAACCCAUGAAUUGCUUUCAAAACUGUUUUUCUUGAGUAGUGCAGAGGUAGAUGGAAUUCCCGGUGUAGCGGUGGAAUGCGUAGAUAUCGGGAGGAACACCAGUGGCGAAGGCGGUCUACUGGGCACCAACUGACGCUGAGGCUCGAAAGCAUGGGUAGCAAACAGGAUUAGAUACCCUGGUAGUCCAUGCCGUAAACGAUGAUUACUAGGUGUUUGGGGGAUUGACCCCCUCAGUGCCGCAGUUAACACAAUAAGUAAUCCACCUGGGGAGUACGACCGCAAGGUUGAAACUC